rnacentral:rRNA from 1 species
GACGAAGGGGGGCUAGCGUUGUUCGGAAUUACUGGGCGUAAAGCGCACGCAGGUGGCUGAGUCAGUCGAUUGUGAAAGCCCUGGGCUUAACCUGGGAAUUGCAGUCGAUACUACUCAGCUAGAGUAUGGGAGAGGGCAGUGGAAUUCCCGGUGUAGCGGUGAAAUGCGUAGAUAUCGGGAGGAACAUCAGUGGCGAAGGCGGCUGCCUGGCCCAAUACUGACACUCAGGUGCGACAGCGUGGGGAGCAAACAGG